GGUUGAAUGGUGUAGUGGUUAUCACAUCUGUCUUACAUGUAUCUAAUCAGCGUGAGGUCCACAGAAGGUCCCAAGUUCGAUCCUUGGUUUAAUCA